UACGUAGGUGGCAAGCGUUGUCCGGAUUUACUGGGCGUAAAGGAUGCGUAUGCGGACAUUUAAGUCAGAUGUGAAAUACCCGAGCUUAACUUGGGUGCUGCAUUUGAAACUGGGUGUCUAGAGUGCAGGAGAGGUAAGUGGAAUUCCUAGUGUAGCGGUGAAAUGCGUAGAGAUUAGGAAGAACACCAGUGGCGAAGGCGACUUACUGGACUGUAACUGACGCUGAGGCAUGAAAGCGUGGGGAGCAAACAGG
rnacentral:rRNA from 1 species